GAAGCAAAUAUGAAGAGGAUGUUUUUAUCAAUAACCACACCACAGUUUGGGGUUCAUGGUGGAAGGAUCACCAUUGGGGUUACAAAUGCUGCAAACAGACAAUCAGAAACAGCUACUGUACAGGUGCUGCUGGAAUUGAAGCAGCUGAGGCUUCUACUGAUCUUAUGAAGGCCAAUAUUGCUCGCAAGGAGUCUGCUGAAGAUACACAUGCGCCGGUUGAGGAGAAGAGGCUCACUACUUGGGGAACUGAAGUUCCUGACGAUUUGGUUCUGGACCAGCAAAAGCUGGCUGAAGCUCUUAAAAAGGAGGAUGAAAAGAGGAGAGAAGAGAGGGAUGAAAGGAAAAGGAAAUACAACGUGAAAUACAAUGACGAGGUUACACCGGAAGAAAUGGAGGCUUACAGAAUGAAAAAGGUCCUCCAUGACGAUCCCAUGAGGGACUUCUUGCACUGAGUUAUAUAUACAGAAGGGGGGAGUCCUUGCACCUCUUUAGGUAGCACUUGGCAUGUAGGUGAAUUGUUAGUAAAAUACACUCCCAAACACACCAUCCAUUAUUAGGGGCUUACACGUGAGGAACUCUUUGCAUGAUUGCCACUCCUGCGCGUAAUAUGUAUAUAUUGUUGCUUCAAACCCAUUUUUUUAUUAUUGCAAUAUAAUUGUGGUCAAGCGUUGUAUCUGUCCUGUUUUAUCAGUUGUACAUACAUAUGCACACUGGGUUUUG
rnacentral:misc_RNA from 1 species